UAAGCUUCGGGUAGGUGCAAAUAACCCUUGAUCCGGAGAUUUCCGAAUGGGACAACCUAGCCGUCUGAAGGACGGUUACUCAAUCUUCAAGGUUGAGAGCUAACGCAGGGAACUGAAACAUCUUAGUACCUGUAGGAAGAGAAAAUAAAUGAAUGAUUCCCCUAGUAGUGGCGAGCGAACGGGGAACAGCCCAAACCGUUGACGUCGCAAGGCGCCAGCGGGGUUGUAGGACCGCGACAUUGUAUGCAAAUCGUGAACAGAACACUUUGGAAAAUGUGACCAUAGACGGUGAUAGUCCAGUAUGUGAAGCGAAAU
rnacentral:rRNA from 1 species